rnacentral:rRNA from 1 species
GGUUUACGCGGUGGUAGGAGCCGCGGUGAGACGGAGGGUGGUAGCGGUAUGUGGAUUUAAUGGGUUUGAAGGGUGGGGAGGCGGAUCUGUAAGUCAGCGGUGAAAUCUCCGUGCUCAACCCGGAAACUGCCAUUGAUACUAUUGGUCUUGAAUAUUGUGGAGGUGGGCGGAACGGGUCAUGUAGCGGUGAAAUGCUUAGAGAUGACCCGGAACACCGAUUGCGAAGGCAGCACACUACGCAAUGAUUGACGCUGAGGCACGAAAGCGUGGGGAUCAAACAGGAUUAGAUACCCCGGUAUC